GCCGUCGGCCAGGCCGGAGAGGUCAAGGCCCGUAACCUGCUGGGUCGCGCUGGUGAUCGUGCCGGACCCGGUGACCGGCGUGCCGCCGCCAUCGGAGGUG
rnacentral:tRNA from 1 species